CUUCCUUUUCGAGGCCGGCCACAUGGUGGAAGUCAUGGAGGCUUCUGUUCCGAGCGAGCAGCCUCAGGCCUUUGGCAGUGGCCUGCCUUUGGCAUCUGCGGAGAUGAUGAGAAGCAGACCUUCGGGUUGAAGCUUGAAAGUAAUGAAUGGAACCCUGGAACGAGUAAGAAUGCGUGCAGGCAGGCAUGACCUGAUUAAAGGUGUUGGCUGUGAACAUUGAAAAAUGUCCCAUGAAAGCCAUCUUAAGAUGUUGAGUGCAAGGAUCUUCGUGAUGAAAUUUCUGUAGAUGGUUUUUUCUUUUGCAAUUUCUCCCUGCCGAGGACAGUCGCAGGCUCAGUCUGAAGCGGAUCCUCCGGAAAAUACCAGCAGCAGCACGUGGCAGCCGCGCUGGACCCGGCGGGGUCCUUCUCACGAGCGUGACAGACUUCCCAACAGAUAUCUCAGGGUGAGAGACAGAACAGCAGUUUUGCCUGAAGCAAGCGACACGAUCCCUCUCCUGCUGCGCGUAAGCUUUCCGUUCCUGUCUUAACGUGUCCCUCAGAAGCCCCGCAAGCCCGUGAUGUUCGUUAUCCCUGUCUGAAAAUCUCGACUGAGGGAGAACAGUGUUCUGAGGCUUACGGGUUCGUUUGGCUCUGUGCUCUUAAAAGUAGUUCAGGCUUUAUCAGGGAUCAGAUCGAAUGGUCUCUCAAGGGGGUUUUCUGUCCCCUGCCGAGACCUCAGGCUAGCACAUCGCCCCUCUGCAACUUGAGAACCAGUCUGUGGCUGCUCUCUCGCUUUGGGCCCCUCGAUUAAGGUCUCUGAGGGUACAGGCUAUGAGAGGUGGCAGAAAUGGGCACGGGACCCGGGUUUGGUUUAGGCUUAUUGUGGAAUGAAAGAGCGCUUGUCACAUAUUUCAAGAAAAUUAAUGUGCUCUUUGGAGCAGGCUGAAAUGUCACAUGUCUGCCAGCUGAGGCAGCGAGCACGCGUAAGGGCUCUGACGUCUUUCUUCUGUGCCGUAUCCCGACCUUCAGCAAAGAAGGGGUACCGUGGCACUGGCAGAGCUGUUUGGGUUCCAGGUGCUUCGUUAGCACCAGGGACCUCUCCUAGAGUUAGCUUGGGCCCUGUCGAAAUGAGUGUCUGGUGUGGGGCUGCUCCUUGGGCGGCAGAGGGCUGGUUGCCUGGCACGUAAGCAAGAAAGGAGCAAAGUGGCUCUGGGCAGGGAGGCUGUCCGCCUUUGUUCGCAUUUAAAUGCCAGGCUUGAAGUCGGCACAGAUGGCCAUUUCUGUUGACUGGGAGGCGUGUGUGGGCUCUUCACGUUAAAGGUCACGCUCGUUCAGUCACCAAGGAAGCUCUAGGGUUAAACAAGUGGAAGGGGCACGGGAGCAAGUGGAGAAGUCUACAGUGAAGUCUUAGCCCCAGAGGGGGGUGGUGAAUAGAAACGUCCCCAGUGCCUCACGGGUGUUCUUUACCGGCCGCUGAGCAGACGCUGCUCCCUCCAAGCUCCGUCUCCCAAAAAGGAGCGUAGAACUGUCUGAUCGUACCGACUGUGCCCUCGACACACACACCAGCCUAAUGAUGGGUUAGAACGAGUGCUUCUGUGGUUGCCUUUUCUCUAAAUUAGCUUAUUGAAGUUAAGCCUUUAGUUUGAGUCCCUUAGUUGGCUGUUAUAUCCAGUGAUUCUCUGG